UACAGAGGGUGCGAGCGUUGUCCGGAAUCACUGGGCGUAAAGGGCGCGUAGGUGGCGACCCAAGUCGAUGGUGAAAGCUCGCCGCUCAACGGCGAGUCGGCCACCGAUACUGGGUUGCUGGAGCACUGUAGAGGCUCAUGGAAUUCCGGGUGUAGCGGUGGAAUGCGUAGAGAGUCCGGAAGAACGACCGGUGGCGAAGGCGGUGAGCUGGGCAGUUGCUGACACUGAGGCGCGGACAGCGUGG
rnacentral:rRNA from 1 species